rnacentral:lncRNA from 1 species
CCGGGGCUGGGGCGGACGGGCGGGGCCCUGGGCGCCCGGGCCGCCUCCCUGCUCUCUCCCGGCGUCUGGCCGCAGCGCCGGCUCCAGGUUUCCCCUCCCAGCGUGGGGUGGCAGCCUGGAGAGGCAUCUGCAGAAACCACGCGAGCCCCGGGGAGGAGAGCCCAUGGUGCACACAUAGGCGCGUGUCGGGGACCCCAAGCCCCUGGGCCCCGGGCACACUCGCAGAACCGCUGCAGGGACGUGGCCCAAGCUGGAAUUGCCCUGCGCACAGGCCAGGACCUUUGGGAGCAGCGACUGUCGAGAUAAGGUCAACGGCGGGCCCGCGGUGACUCAGCUCCCCUUGGCCCCGAGGAAGCUCGGCUGGCCCGGGGGGGCGGGGCCUGCGACGCUCCGCCCCCUGCUCCGGCUCCCGGAAGGCGCCCCACACCACCCCCAGCUUCCCAGAGGCGCCCAGAUUUCCCACGGGUUUUCCUGGUGGUGUCGUAACGAGCCCGGCCCUUUCGGAGCGUCCCAGGAAAAGCAAGCUUACCUACUCCAAGAAGAGACUGGAAUCUGCCAGCAUGAGCUGGAUCUCAUGUUUUCAUAUUGUAGGACAGGCUACAAGAGGCAUGUGAUUGUUUAGAUCUAAAAUAUCCCCCCAAAGUCUCCCUUUGAAGGUGGGUCAUGGUUGGAAGGGAUGGGAGUGUGACUUGGAAGGGUGUAUUCUCAUCCCCAGCUCCUCCAUUUCUGCUUCCUGGCCACCUUGUGGCGAACAGUUUUCCUCUGACAUUCAGUUCUCUGAUGUAUUUUCUGCCUUGGGGCUGGCUGACCAUAGACUGAACCCACUGAAACCAUGAGCCAAGCCUCUCCUUUAAGUUUUGGGUAUUGGAAAGUGCCUCAGACAAGAUGGGUGUUUGGGGGGGGUCCCACUGAUUCUGAAGAGGCCCAAGGGCUCAGGGGACUGGGUCUGACAGCAGAGUGGAAAGCCAGAGUGCCCCAUUGCAUUCCCAGCCCUGCCUCCCGCCCACCAGAGGGCAGGGGCUGGGGACAGUUAGGUCUGAGCGUCAACCUGGAGUCACUUGGGGACCCAUAUGGAGAAGGAAUGGAGCUCGUGUAGCUUCUCCAAGGCCGAAAAACUCUCACCCCUUCCCUAACAUACACUGCCUCUCCCAUCAUGGUUAAGUACCAAAGACCUGAAGAGGAGAAGAAGCCCUUGAAUGCUGCCCGUGGGGUGCAUCUUCUCCCCUCUUCUUACUCUGCCCAGUUGCCCCGUGUAAGGGGAUCAGGGGUACAGUGUACCCCGAGGGAGCCCAGGGAUUUCAGAGCACAGUAACACACCAGGCACGGAAGUCCUCUUACCCGGGAAGCUGCCAGCUCGGUCCUGGGGGCUCUGCCUUUCCUGCAGCCUGGAAGGCCCUGCCUCCUGGCCCCGCUGGUGGCAGAGGACUCUGGCUCCUUCUGCCCAGUGUCACCUGCUCUAUGCGCCUCGCCACAUCACUGUUCCAGCAUGUACGCCUCCCAUCGUUUCUGGACCUUGGAUUUCACCCGUCACUGCACGUUGCACUCUGCGGCAUCACUCUGUUUAUGCAUCCGAAGUGAUGUCCUAGAGCCUUCCUCUGCCCUGUGUCCCCAGGGUGUAGUUAGUGCCUUCGCCGCUGAGUAGGCGGUCACAACACUGGUGCAACAGAGAUACAGAGGUGGUGCCUGCCUGUAUCCCCAGCAGUCUAGGAGGCUGAGGCAGGAGGAUCACACGUUAGAGCCCAGCCUGGGCAAAUUAGUGACUUAGUGAGGCUCUGUCUCAAGAAAUAUAAAAAAGGGGGAGCUGGGGAUGUAGCUCAGUGAGAAAGCCGUGGGCUCAAUCCCCAGUACCAAAAUAAAACAAAACAAGCAAGCACAGUCCCAGGUGGCCUGAGCCCAUUCUGGGCCUUUUCCCCCUCCUCACUACCCCUCCCUGUGUGCCCUCGGCCCCCACAGAUGUCCCCAUCUGCCCGAGGUGGGAGCCCGGCCUCAGCCACAGCUGCAGGUGUCUCUUUUGAGAGGCCCCUCAAACCAGAAGCCUGCAGAGCCCCUCAAGGCCUUGUGUACGAACUUGGGACUCCACCCCAGCAGAGCGGAAGGCUGGGAGGGGAGGAGAGGCCCAUGGGGUCCUAGAAACUACCCGUGUGCAGUGGCGGUGUGGCGAGGAUCGGCAGUUCUCUGGCAGGGAGGAGCGAGGGCUGUGGCCCGUGCCUGCCUGCCCAAGGUGUCCCGCCAACCCUGCUCUCAGAUCGAAGGAGGGUUCCCUGCCAGGGCGGCAGCGGUCAGAGGUGGAAGUGGGCUGCUGCCCCGAGGGCCUGGGCGGGACCUGCUGUCCUCGUGGGUGCCCCAGCCCCAGGUGUCUGGCUGGAGACCGUGCUUCUCUGGGGUCUCUGCCCUGCCUGUCCCCGGCCACUUGGCCGAGCCACAGCCUGGUCUUCCUUCCCCCAGGCAGCUUCUCUUCUGGUGGGCUCCUCGCGCCUUAGCGUUCUCUGGCCAGGCAUGGCUCCUCUUCUGCCCAGCCAGGCCUCGGCAGCCGAUGCCACCCUCCCCUCACCACCGUAGCUUGAGUCAGGGCCCGCCUGGCUGCUCCAGCCCUGGCUCUGGUCCCUGAGGUCCCCAGGCAGGUCUGCUCCUCAGGCCUGAAGACGUCUGCGUUUGGUCUCUUCGGUUCAUUGAUCA